CCAAUAGCGUAUAUUAAAGUUGUUGCAGUUAAAAAGCUCGUAGUUGAAUUUCGGGGUCAGUAGGUUGGUCAUGCCACUGGUAUGUACUGGUCUCACUGAUUCCUCCUUCCUGAUGAGCCGUAAUGCCAUUAAUUUGGUGUUGCGAGGAAUCUGGACUGUUACUUUGAAAAAAUUAGAGUGUUUAAAGCAGGCUAACGCUUGAAUACAUUAGCAUGGAAUAAUGAAAUAGGACGUUCGAUCUUAUUUUGUUGGUUUCUAGGAUCGACGUAAUGAUUAAUAGGGAUAGUUGGGGGCAUUAGUAUUCAAUUGUCAGAGGUGAAAUUCUUGGAUUUAUUGAAGACUAACUACUGCGAAAGCAUUUGCCAAGGAUGUUUUCAUUAAUCAAGAACGAAAGUUAGGGGAUCGAAGACGAUCAGAUACCGUCGUAGUCUUAACCAUAAACUAUGCCGACUAGGGAUCGGAUGAUGUUAAUUUUUUAAUGACUCAUUCGGCGCCUUACG
rnacentral:rRNA from 1 species